rfam:Asian citrus Psyllid, Diaphorina citri - Florida Strain, whole genome shotgun sequence.
GUCAGCGGUGAUAGCACGUUGAAUAUGCCAGUUCCCCUUGGAUUAUUGAAGUAAAGCAACAUUACGCGUGGUUAGUAUCCGGAUGGGUGACCAGCUGGGCAAUUACGUGCUGUUGGCU